CACUGUUCUGUUUUGACUUCAGUUUCGAGGUUUGGACGGAACAGUGUUUUGUUCCAAAUUUCAUUUCGAGUCGAAAAAGCUGUUCCAUUUCGCUUUGUCAAAACAGUGAGGCUGUUUCGACGCUGUUUUGAUGUUUCACCUGACUAUCAGGGUGGGGAAACAAACUCAGCCCGGCUGGGAUGAGUUCGUUUCCCCAGCAUGACCAUUGGGCUGGGGAAACAAAACUUUCAAAACAUUUCAACUAGCCUCGUUUUGUUUCAAGGCUGUUUCAAACUCCUUUGUUUCAAUUCGAUUUCACUGUUUUGAGCUCAAAAUGAGUUGAAACAGUUUUGACUUGAAACAGCUGGAGAAAUUUCACACAGCCUUAGUCUAUAGUAUUUUUUUCUAUUUCUCUGCCCAUCUCUCUCUCAUCCUUUCUAUAUACUUUCUAUAUAAUAUUAGAAUUGUACUCUAUUCCAGACCAAUAAGGGACAUAUUUACAGAGCAACGAAAGGUCUCAUCACGGAGCAACCUCAUCACUGCUCAAGAAGUCCUUUGCUGGUUAAGUACACGACUGUCUCCUGGGUACAUGAUUUGCAUUGCUAUUUCAUCAGAACAAUAACCUUGAAAAAGUGACCAGAUUCAAUCAAGGCAAAGCAAUCAGCUUCCAUUAGAUGAGUCAGUAGUAUUUUCCUGUAGGGCUCAAUCAAGCAUCCCUAAAGCAAGCAAGACUCUCUUUUUGGAAGAGAAAAAUGUAAACAACAAACAAACACUCCCAUGGUCUAUAAUUUUACUUAAGUAUGUACUGCAAGUUCAAGUCUGAUGGUAGCAUGAUUGAGUAAAUCAAGUCACAGCUCUUAUUACAAUAUGUUAAUUUAGUAUUAUAUGAAUUCACUGAUUUAAAAACAAACUCUGCAACACUUGAAUACUGUCUGAUAAUGCCUUUUCCUGAAUAAAAAUAGACAUACUAUUGAAACGCAUCCAUCAGUUCUACUAGACAAACUUCCAUUUUAAUACAUUAUUUCCUUUCUGUUUUAGAAUUUUUAAGUUUUGCAAACUCUAACCGGUAGAAUUGUAAUCCACAAAAAUUUCUGUAAUCUAAUGAGAGGUCUGGAAGAUGCUAUGGGAACUGUCUGCAGUGAAUUAAGUUUAUUACAGAGUUAUAAUUAAUGUACACUAAUUAUUUAGUAUCUUUUCCACUAUCUUGGUAUUCAUCCCAUGAAGCUUUGUGAAGUGUUCCUAUUUAUUCACUGUGUGCUUAUAAUGAAUAGGAAAGUGUUAAAUAAAAGCAUUUUAAUUGUUUGCUGCUCUGUUCAGACCAUGCAUGAUAUAUAUCUAUUUUUAAUUCUCAUCUGUAUCAUGGUAUAUUAAUUUUUAAAAAAUUGUGUUGCUUUAAGGUUGCUUAAAAAUAUUCUUCAUGUCCCUGUUCUGGAGAUUUUGUUCAGGUACAACAUACAUUAAGAUGACUGAAAUUUCGUCUGUACAAAGGCUGCAAGGGGAGGUAUUUUAAUGUUUUAAUUAGAGCUACUUAAUGUGAUUUCUUUCCUUCUAAAUCUUGAAUAUUAAUCAAUGCAGACAGAGCUUGACUUUUUAAUGAAAUAUGGUUUCUCUUCAAUACUUCAAAAUCAUAACUAGGAGGAUAUGUUAACAUUUUGACAGGUUGCAGUAGGGAUAGAUAAAAAGUCCAAAUUUGUUUGAGAUUUAUACCAUGUUUCUUAAAUUGUCUUAAACACACUUUUUACUGUGGACAAAUAAAAAUUGUAGCUAUUAUGUACUGAAGAGUAUCCCUUAUAUUAUCAUGAACAUCUUAUGUUUAGUUAGUGUAAAUAAUGGUCAUAACUGACGGAGCAAUUAAAAAAUGGCUCAGUGGUUCUACUUUUAUCUGUAACCUAAAAGGGUAGGUGUCAAGUGCCAAAUUAUAUUAAAGAUAGUGUGGAAACACAUCUUCUGAAAUGCACAUCAAAUCUUCCUUUUCCCUUUACAGUAUUUUUCCUAUUUGAUAGAACCAAUGAUCCUCAGCCCACUGGUGGACUGUGCAGGCAGCAGCAUAACAACAGGCACAUGUGACUGCUCCACAGGCCCAAAACCAGUUGGAAGCAGUCCUCCGGCAUCCCAGGAAACACUAUUCCCAGGCACUCUAUAUCUUCCCCCACAGUGACAGAGGGGGGAACACCUAAAGAACAGUCCCCAAGGCUGCCAUGGACAGAGGGCAUACCACUGCUUCCCACUGGAGCGGAGCUGUGGGCCUCAGCAUCCCACCUCCAAACUGCUGACACCUAAGAGAGAGAGCCUCAGAGUGAAGCCUGCACCCUGACCAGAUGUACUUUGACUCUGAUGACAGCCCUAGAAUUGGUAAAUAUAGAAUUGUUUGAUUGUUGUAUUGUUGCUUUUUUGGUCUUACUCUGUAUCAAUAAACUCCCCUUUAUCAACUGGCA